AUUAACGCUGGCGGUAUGCUUAACACAUGCAAGUCGAACGGAAACGAUGGUAGCUUGCUACCAGGCGUCGAGUGGCGGACGGGUGAGUAACGCGUAGGAAUCUGCCCAGUAGUGGGGGACAACCAGGGGAAACCCUGGCUAAUACCGCAUACACCCUACGGGGAAAAGAGGGCCUCUUCUUGAAAGCUCUUGCUAUUGGAUGAGCCUGCGUGAGAUUAGCUAGUUGGUGAGGUAAAAGCUCACCAAGGCGACGAUCUCUAGCUGGUCUGAGAGGACGAUCAGCCACACUGGAACUGAGACACUGCCCAGACUCCUACGGGAGGCAGCAGUAGGGAGUAUUGGACAAUGGGCGCAAGCCUGAUCCAGCAAUGUCGCGUGUGUGAAGAAGGCUUUAGGGUUGUAAAGCACUUUCAGACGUGAGGAAAAGUUUAAGGUUAAUAACCUUAGACCCUGACGUUAACGUCAGAAGAAGCACCGGCUAACUCCGUGCCAGCAGCCGCGGUAAUACGGAGGGUGCAAGCGUUAAUCGGAAUUACUGGGCGUAAAGCGCGCGUAGGCGGUUAGUUAAGUUAGAUGUGAAAGCCCCGGGCUCAACCUGGGAACUGCAUUUAAAACUGGCUAACUAGAGUAUGGUAGAGGAGAGUGGAAUUUCAGGUGUAGCGGUGAAAUGCGUAGAGAUCGGAAGGAACAUCAGUGGCGAAGGCGACUACCUGGACUGAUAUUGACGCGGAGGUGCGAAAGCGUGGGUAGCAAACGGGAUUAGAUACCCCGGUAGUCCACGCCGUAAACGAUGUCAACUAACUGUUGGGCGGGUUUCCGCUUAGUUGACGAAGGUAACGCGAUAAGUUGACCGCCUGGGGAGUACGGUCGCAAGACUAAAACUCAAAUGAAUUGACGGGGGCCCGCACAAGCGGUGGAGCAUGUGGUUUAAUUCGAUGCAACGCGAAGAACCUUACCAGGUCUUGACAUCCAGAGAAAUUUGUCGUAAUGACUUAGUGCCUUCGGGAACUGAGUGACAGGUGCUGCACGGCUGUCGUCAGCUCGUGUCGUGAGAUGUUGGGUUAAGUCCCGUAACGUGCGCAACCCUUAUCUUUAGUUGCCAGCACGUAACGUUGGGAACUCUAGAGAGACUGCCGGUGAUAAGCCGGAGGAAGGUGGGGACGACGUCAAGUCAUCAUGGCCCUUACGGGAUGGGCUACACACGUGCUACAAUGGUGCAUACAGAGGGUUGCCAACCAGCGAUGGGGAGCUAAUCCCAGAAAGUGCAUCUUAGUCCGGAUUGGAGUCUGCAACUCGACUCCAUGAAGUUGGAAUCGCUAGUAAUCGCGAAUCAGCAACGUCGCGGUGAAUACGUUCCCGGGCCUUGUACACACCGCCCGUCACAC
rnacentral:rRNA from 1 species